GCGUCAGGAGGUCGCAGUGAAAUGGCUCUGGUGACUGGUUAACAAAACCACAGGUCUCUGCGAAGCCGAAAGGCGACGUAUAGGGGCUGACGCCUGCCCAGUGCCGGAAGGUUAAGGGGAGGGGUUAUUCUCACUUCGGUGAGAAGAAGCUCUGAACCGAAGCCCCGGUGAACGGCGGCUGUAACUAUAACAGUCCUAAGGUAGCGAAAUUCCUUGUCGGGUAAGUUCCGACCCGCACGAACGGCGUAACAAUCGGAGCACUGUCUCAACGAAGGACCCGGUGAAAUUGAACUACGCGUGAAGAUGCGCGUUACCCGCAGCAGGACAAAAAGACCCCGUGGAGCUUUACUGCAGCUUGGCAUUGUGUUUGGGCAUGGUUUGUGUAGCAUAGGUGGGAGGCCGUGAAACUGGGGCGCUAGCCUCGGCGGAGCCAUCCGUGAAAUACCACCCUGACCCUGUCUUGACCCUAACCCCACACCGUUAGCCGGGUGGGGGACCGUGCCUGGUGGGCAGUUUGACUGGGGCGGUCGCCUCCUAAAAGGUAGCGGAGGCGCCCAAAGGUUCCCUCAGGCUGAAUGGAAACCAGCCUUAGAGUGUAAAGGCAUAAGGGAGCUUGACUGCAAGACCAACGCGUCGAGCAGAGACGAA
rnacentral:rRNA from 1 species